AAAAAGUUCCUGAGAAAUCCAUUUCAAAUUCUAGUGAAGAAAGAAGAGCUGACCUCUGAAAAGAAUUGGCAGUGGGAGUCAAUUUGGGAGGAAGGCUGUGGCCUUAAACAUUGAAGAAAAGAAGAAGAUUCUUUGUGACACUGAGCCUUUCUACAAUACUACACUGGAGGAAAUGCCAAUGAAUGUGGAUGACCUAAUUUAAUUCCUGGGAUGAAAUGGUUUUGAAUGUAGUGCUUGCUGUUGGUGAAUAGGCAAUCACAAGGUGCAUCAUGCUUCUUUUGGGGGAAAUAUUUGAAGUUUUGUCUCAAUGCUCAUAACAGAUCAAAAAUAUAGAUUUUGAUAGCAAAGCAACUUCAGCCAUGAGCUCAUGUGAGGAAAGUCAUUGGCUUUAUCCUCUUUAGAAUUAGACUGUUGGGGUAGCUAUAAAAGAUGGGUUUGUACCCAAUCGAAAAAUGGGCAGAAGACCUAAAUAUACAUUUCUCCAAAGAAGACAUACAGAUGGCCAACAGGCAAAUGAAAAAAGUCUUAACAUGGCUAAUUAUCAGAGAUAUGCUAAUCAAAACUACAAUGAGAUACUGCCUCACACCAGUCAGAAUAGCCAUCAUUAAAAAGUCUACAAAUAGCAAAUGCUGGAGAGGGUGUGGAGAAGAGGGAACCCUCUUACACUGUUGGUGGAAAUGUAAAUUGGUGCAGCCACUAUGGAGAACAGUAUGGAGGUUCCUCAAGAAACUAAAAAUAGAAUUACCAUAUGAUCCAGCAAUCCCACUCCUGGGCAUAUAUCCAGACAAAACUAUAAUUCAAAAAGAUACAUGUACCCCUAUGGUCAUAGCAGCACUAUUCACAAUAGCCAAGACAUGGAAACCACCUAAAUGCCCACCUAGAGAUGAAUGGAUAAAGAAGAUGUGGUACAUAUAAUACAAUGGAAUACUACUCAGCCAUAAAAAAGAAUGAAAUAAUGCCAUUUGCAGCAACAUGGAUGGAACUGGAGAUUAUCAUACUAAGUGAAAAAGUCAGAAAGAGAAAGAAAAAUACCAUAUGAUAUCACUUAUAUGUGGAAUCUAAAAUAUGACACAAAUGAACCUACCUACAAAACAGAAACAGACUCACAGACAUAGAGAACAGACCUGUGUUUGCCAAGGCAGUGGGGGUGGGGAGAGGAGAGAUGGAUUGGGAGGUUGGGGUUAGCAGAUGCAAACUAUUAUAUACAGGAUGGAUAAACAACAAGGUCCUACUGUAUAGCACAGGGAACUAUAUUCAACAUCCUGUGAUAAAACAUAUUGGAAAAGACUAUGAAAAAGAAUACAUAUUUAUGUAUAACUGAAUCACUUUGCUGUAGAGCAGAAAUUAACUCAACAUUGUAAAUCAACUAUACUUCAAUUUAAGAAAAAGAUGAGGUUGUAAAUCUUAGAAUUUUAUCUCCUAGUUCUCUACACAUGGUUAUAUUGAGUGUUCACUAUCAUUUAAUAAUAUACUUGUUGACUGAAAGAUACGUGCUGUAGAAAAACAGCCAAUUAUAUUAAACUAGUAUAUCUGCUGUUAUUGUGUUAGUCAUUAGACUGAAUGGAACUAACUUUAAAAUAAUUUUUUAAGAAAAUAUUUGAAUUUAUUUUGUUUGGUAUCGUUUUUAUUCAGUAAGGCAUUUUAUUAGUGGUAAGUGUAAACUAGAGUCUUUUGCUAAACACCAGCAACAAUCAUGUCCUACAGUUAAAUCUCAGAAAAAUUGCUGUAUUGUAUAUUGAAUUUUCAAUAAAUUAAAAUGACGUAUUUUUUCUUUAAA